CCUGGUUGAUCCUGCCAGUAGUCAUAUGCUUGUCUCAAAGAUUAAGCCAUGCAUGUCUAAGUACAAGCCUCACUAAGGUGAAACCGCGAAUGGCUCAUUAAAUCACACCUAAUGUACUGGACAGUCUCAGUUACUUGGAUAACUGCGGUAAUUCUGGAGCUAAUACAUGCGUACUAGCCGCGACUCACGGAGCGGUGCUUUUAUUAGAUCAAAACCAAACGGCCUCGAGCCGUCCCCCUGGUGAUUCUGAAUAACUUUGGGCUGAUCGCACGGACUCGUUCCGGCGACGUGUCCUUCCAAGGUGUGCCCUAUCAACUGUCGACUGUGGCAUAGACGCCCACAGUGGUUUUGACGGGUAACGGGGAAUUAGGGUUCGAUUCCGGAGAGGGAGCCUGAGAAACGGCUACCACUUCUACGGAAGGCAGCAGGCACGCAAAUUACCCACUGGCCGAAGGCCGAGGUAGUGACGAAAAAUAACGAUACCGGACUCAUCCGAGGCCCGGUAAUCGGAAUGAGUACACUUUAAAUCCUUUAACGAGGAACAAUUGGAGGGCAAGUCUGGUGCCAGCAGCCGCGGUAAUUCCAGCUCCAAUAGCGUAUAUUAAAGUUGUUGCGGUUAAAAAGCUCGUAGUUGGAUCUCGGCGGGCAGGGGGUGGUUCGCUCUUCAGCGCUACUGCCCCGCUUUGCCCGUGUGAUUGGCGGAGGUUUCGGGGUGCUCUUCGUUGAGUGACUCGGAGCGCCGUCAGGUUUACUUUGAAAAAAUUAGAGUGCUCAAAGCAGGCUUUUCACGCUUGAAUAUUCGUGCAUGGAAUAAUGGAAUAGGAACUCGUUUCUAUUUUGUUGGUUUUCGGAAAUCGAGUUAAUGAUUAACAGGGACAAUUGGGGGCAUUAGUAUUCAGACGACAGAGGUGAAAUUCUUGGACCGUCUGAAGACUGACUACUGCGAAAGCAUUUGCCAAGAGUGUUUUCAUUAAUCAAGAACGAAAGUUAGAGGUUCGAAGGCGAUCAGAUACCGCCCUAGUUCUAACCAUAAACGAUGCCAGCUAGCGAUCUGCCGAGUUUUUUUUGUAGGCUCCGCAGGAAGCUUUCGGGAAACCAAAGCUUUUGGGUUCCGGGGGAAGUAUGGUUGCAAAGCUGAAACUUAAAGGAAUUGACGGAAGGGCACCACCAGGAGUGGAGCCUGCGGCUUAAUUUGACUCAACACGGGGAAACUUACCAGGUCCAGACAUAGUAAGGAUUGACAGAUUGAUAGCUCUUUCUUGAUUCUAUGGGUGGUGGUGCAUGGCCGUUCUUAGUUGGUGGAGUGAUUUGUCUGGUUAAUUC
rnacentral:rRNA from 1 species